AUUCACGAUGAACUCCGGCGCAGAGCAGUCAUUGUUCAGCUGGAACUCUUCGCACUGGUAGCACUGUAUUUGCAGACCGAAGCCUAGAACAGACAGAGUUUUGCUCAGAAUAACAACAAAAAGAGAAUAGAAGUCGGCUGCAAGAACGUGUUAGAGCUGCACCCUGGACACCUCCUACUAAAAGCCAAACAAGAACCAUAGAAACAUCUGUUGAAGAGGGAAAAAAAAAGGCAACAAAGCAGCGAAGACAUAGCAUGUGCUAAGAUGUGGCAUAACUGACGAGAGCAAGAGCUACUUCCCCACCAUUUAUACAAAGGAGGAGGAAAAAAAGCGCCAAACAGUGGAACUGGGAAGCCCGGUGGUGUGAUCAGGCAGCUCAGAGACCAGCGGAGCGGAGGUCCUGGCUGUGUCUAGUUGCAGAACCUCAUUUCAAUGCUACCUCCAGAAAAUUCUCCGUGGAGAGACAGAGGCCUGUGUUGUUCUCCUCACUAGAGAGCAUCUGAAAUGCAGUUCAACAUACAGGACCUGGCAUCUGCACCAGUACACGUGGUAGUUAAUCAAAUGUUUUGCACUGACUUCAGUAGACUUUGGAUCAGACUCUUAAUGCAUUAGAGAGAUAAAUUAUUUAACUUACUGAGUUCCCCUAGAAACAAAAUAUUGAGCUGCAAACAAAGCUAACAAACACCAAAUGGGAUACCAUCUGCUGCAAUGAACAGAACACGACCAGUUCCCCCCAUGCUUGAUAUUCUUCCAAAAUACAAUCUGAAAUAGGUUUGUUAAACUCCCAACUGCCUCACAAAAUUGGCUUAGCACAGGUUAGCAAAUGCUGAUGCCACCAGCAACAGCAGGCCAGACUCUGAUAUAUCAAUUGAAGUUGUCUAUGAUUUUAUUUCUGUUGGACUGCCCUGAAUAAAGGCUGUGCGUGUCUUUCUGCAUAUCUUUAGCUAUCCAGACGCUACGGAGAAGUUUCAUGGUCUGUAUCCUAGGGCUUAUGGACACUGACUGGUUUCUGCUCCUGCAUACAUAUGGAUAAUAGUUAUCUAUAUAAUGAUGCAUUCAUAAAUCCAGAUCCUUCUAGCCUUUGACUUCCAGACUCCAUGCCAUACAUCUCUCCAUGGAACCAGGAUACGGAAGCAAAAGAAACCCUAUCUCCCACAGGAAUGGCAGGAGCUACUUGAAAUCCGGAGUCCGGACCAUUCCCCUCUUGGUACCGAAGCUGGAGGCUGUGGUAGAGAACGAGUGUUCCUGAACACUUUCACAGGGACAGAAGGACGUUGCUCAGCUAACCGCAGUGCACGUAUCACUAGGGGAUGCCAUCAAUGUUAGCUCCCUUUCCACUCAGAAAAUAUACUAACUGAGCAACCAGGUGGUCUCUACAUAAUGGGAGAAAGAAAACCCAAACAAUAUUUGUCCUGUAGAACAAAUCAGGAAGACGAAUGCCUUCAUACUUAAAUUUCCUACAUAGCCAGAGAGUUUGUCUUCUAGUAUCAGCACUACAACUGAUGAAACUGCCAUGAGCUAACAGAGCUUCCAAAGACGAUUCCGUUUUUAUCAGAUAACAAGAACAGGCUACUGCUCUCCACAUCACUCAGCUGGUUUAGAUGGUCACUGCUGCUCUUCUGCUGCCUCUGUUUUCAUCACUGUGCUGCUAAUGAUGGCACAGUACAGAUUCCAUUUUUUUGCAGUCCAGCUUGUUUAUAGAAAUGCUGUAUUACUAACAAACUCUUUGGUACUACUGCUUGUUACAGUGGUUAUCAGCGACAUGAAAAGAAUGGAUGUGCAAAUAAUAAUAAUAAUAAUAAAGUCUUUUAAGUUAUAUAGAUGGUACAGU